rnacentral:tRNA from 1 species
GUUACUGUAGUGUAGUGGUUAUCACGUGCGCCUCACACGCGCAAGGUCGCCGGUUCGAACCCGGCUAGAAACA